AGAAUUGUCCCUAAGUUUCUGUGUUUGUUGCUCGUUCUUCAGGAUGUUGUAGAAACAGCGAGGAAACUCUGUGAACCACACAGUCUUUCUGGUGGAUCAAGUUCAGCAGAAGACGAUUCAAAAGCUGCAAAAACAUUUAGAUUGCCAGAGAAGUGAUGAAGACUUUCCUGAUAUUCCAGCAUCAGUUUUGAA